CGUUGCCGGACGGGACGACCCGGAUGAUGCAAGCCCAUCGGUUUAAGUUUAACCCCUGCAUCCAUAUUCUCUCUUUUUUCUCUUUAAUUCUCUAUUCCGAUGUCGGCCUUGUCUACCCGCGUCUUUGUCUAUUGAAUGGUAUUGGAUGCUAUUAAGACAUGGGGUUGAUGGUUCUGUGAGAUGGAAAUCUGCACUCGUGCAUGCUCGAAAGCUUCAAUCGUGGUCAAACUGAAUUGCAGGGAUUCCAAAGUAGCCAGUUCUUCCCCAACUGCACAGUUGAAUUUUAAAGCAAAAAGCUGACAAAACCCAACAGAAUUACUGAAGCCACAACAAGGACAACAAUCAAGGCAACUGCUCGUGAUGAAAGUUUCUUCUUUCCUGCAUUUUUUUUUUUUUAAAAAGAAAUCCAUAGAAAGAAUAUUCAUUCUCUGACGGUUCAAAAGCAAAUAAUAAACACGAAAUUAACAAUAUUACAUGUGUACUGUAAGUUAUCAAAAAGGUCUAGUGAUUGUCUAGGAAGCUUGUAAAUCCACAAAAGCUGUUCUUUUAUAUUUCUUGAGAAAAUAGUAGUUUUUUUUUUUUUUUUUGCAAUUCAAAAUCUCAAGCACUAAUAGCUUGAGAUUAUGAGAAGAACAAAUCCGCAACCUCGCACUUAAAGGCAAUUUUUAUGCCAUUAGGCCACAACGCAUUGGCAAAUAGUAUUGUUUUCCAAUACUUCGAGACUCUGAUAUGAUCUCAAUCUCAUCUCAUCUGAUUAAUCAAAAACUAGGUAGGAUCUGGAACACUCGAAGAAUCUUCUUGUCAGGUUUACAUUAACAUAUUAGAACAGUUCUUAUUGAAAAUGUACAAGAAAUUGAUGAAUCCCAGGUGGAAAAUCCAUAUAUAAAAACUAGCUCAGUGGACUUUCCAAACAAAAAUAUAAAUAAACAA